GCUGAGACUUGAACGCAGAUACGUAAAUAUCAGAUGCAGUAUCUUAACCACUGUGCUGAACACCUGCUCCAUUCAAAGUCAUUUUAAAAAAUAAGUAGAGUUAGUGUUUGGCCUAGAUGGGUAAUCUUUGUAUGACAAAGAGAUGCUAUCACCACGACUUAGGAAAUAGGAGCCAUUAUUUUUGGAAGCAGAAGUUUCAGCGGGAGAUAUUGGAGGUUAAUGUAUUCAGAUCCACUUAUUUACAUA